rnacentral:misc_RNA from 1 species
AACCAUAGAAACCUGCGGAGUACCUGCGGAAGGAUCAUUAUAAAAUUUUUCUUGCAUAUUUUUUUAAAAUGUGUAAAAAAAAAUCUUGUAUUCAAAACCCACACUCUUUUAAAACCUUAUAAUAAAAAAAUUUUUAUAUGUUUAUAUACAUGAAAUUUUUUUAUUUAAAAAUAAUAUAAUAAAAAGACAACUUUUAACAAUGGAUCU